UCUGGAAACUNUCUGACUUGAGUGCAGAAGGGGAGAGUGGAAUUCCAUGUGUAGCGGUGAAAUGCGUAGAUAUAUGGAGGAACACCAGUGGCGAAAGCGGCUCUCUGGUCUGUCACUGACGCUGAGGCUCGAAAGCGUGGGUAGCGAACAGGAUUAGAUACCCUGGUAGUNCACGCCGUAAACGAUGAGUGCUAGGUGUUAGGCCCUUUCCGGGGCUUAGUGCCGGAGCUAACGCAAUAAGCACUCCGCCUGGGGAGUACGACCGCAAGGUUGAAACUCAAAGGAAUUGACGGGGGCCCGCACAAGCGGUGGAGCAUGUGGUUUAAUUCGAAGCAACGCGAAGAACCUUACCAGGUCUUGACAUCCCGAUGCUAUUCUUAGAGAUAGGAAGUUACUUCGGUACAUCGGAGACAGGUGGUGCAUGGUUGUCGUCAGCUCGUGUCGUGAGAUGUUGGGUUAAGUCCCGCAACGAGCGCAACCCUUAUUGUUAGUUGCCAUCAUUAAGUUGGGCACUCUAGCGAGACUGCCGGUAAUAAACCGGAGGAAGGUGGGGAUGACGUCAAAUCAUCAUGCCCCUUAUGACCUGGGCUACACACGUGUUACAAUGGUCGGUACAACGAGUUGCGAGCCGGUGACGGCAAGCUAAUCUCUGAAAGCCGAUCUCAGUUCGGGUUGGAGGCUGCAACUCGCCUCCAUGAAGUCGGAAUCGCUAGUAAUCGCGGAUCAGCACGCCGCGGUGAAUACGUUCCCGGGCCUUGUACACACCGCCCGUCACACCACGAGAGUUUGUAACACCCGAAGUCGGUGAGGUANCCUUUUAGGG
rnacentral:rRNA from 1 species